ensembl:lncRNA novel transcript
CCCAGCCAUGUGAAACUGUGUUUCCAAGGGAAAGCAUGUGGCAUUUCACCUGAGUUAUGUAUUGUUUCAAACAUCCAGUGGAGGGUUUCUGGUAUCUCUCUUGAACUCUGGUGUUUUUACAAGAGGCACACAAAAGAGAGACACAGAGAGAAGAUGAGAAGACUGAGGCAGACAUUGGAAUGACGCAACCAGGAGCCAAGGAAUGCCUGGAUCCAUGGGAAGCAGAAGAGGCUUUCUCACCAUGUGAUGCAUUCUGCUAUGUUAUGAUACAGCAAGAAGGGCCUCACAAGAUGUGACCUCUUGUUCUUGGACUUCUCAGCCUCCAGAAUCAUGAGAGGGAGUGAGAGAAGUCAAACCUCUACCAGACUAGACAGAAUUUGCAUGUCUAUCUCUUACCUCCCCUCUUUGAGCCGAAGGACUAGAGGAACAAAAGACUCAGCCCCAAGGUUAUCCGGCAGACUAAUGAGUCUGGGAGCCAAAAGGAAUAUGUGAUAGUGACUUUUAUCACUGUUCCCCCGCCAACCAGGAUCCAAUAACAAAGCUUUGCCUUCAUUCGUGCAACUUGGGGUCUGCUACUUUGGAGGUCUUAGUUCCCAAAAGAAGAUCCCCUUCUCCAGAGAUAGAAUAAUAAUUUCAUUAAGUUGGAACCGGAGACUGCCUCUUGGCCCUUUGGGCUACUCAUACCAGUGAACAAGAGGCAAAGAGGAGAUUACUACCCUGCACUUGCUGAAAUGACGAUCCUGAUUAUGAGGUGGAAUCAGGAUUGCCACAAUAUGAUUACUCAGGAAUUAGGAUUGCCACUGUAUGAUAGAAACAGGAAGGAGUG